UUAAUACUCCCUUUGUCCCAAAAAUUUUGUCUUAGAUUUGUCUAGAUAUGGAUGUAUCUAGUUACGUUUUAGUGUUAGAUACAUCCAUAUCUAGAGGAAUCUAAGACGAGAAUUUUGGGACGGAGGGAGUAUACC
rfam:Triticum aestivum genome assembly, contig: Triticum_aestivum_CS42_TGACv1_scaffold_591858_7BS